rnacentral:rRNA from 1 species
CCUACGGGAGACAGCAGUGAGGAAUAUUGGUCAAUGGACGAGAGUCUGAACCAGCCAAGUAGCGUGAAGGAUGACUGCCCUAUGGGUUGUAAACUUCUUUUAUAUGGGAGUAAAAUAUUCCACGUGUGGGAUUUUGUAUGUACCAUAUGAAUAAGGAUCGGCUAACGCCGUGCCAGCAGCCGCGGUAAUACGGAGGAUCCGAGCGUUGUCCGGAUUUAUUGGGUUUAAAGGGAGCGUAGGUGGAUGGUUAAGUCAGUUGUGAAAGUUUGCGGCUCAACCGUAAAAUUGCAGUUGAAACUGGCAGUCUGGAGUACAGUAGAGGUGGGCGGAAUUCGUGGUGUAGCGGUGAAAUGCUUAGAUAUCACGAAGAACUCCGAUUGCGAAGGCAGCUCACUGGACUGCAACUGACACUGAGGCUCGAAAGUGUGGGUAUCAAACAGGAUUAGAUACCCCAGUAGUC